rnacentral:rRNA from 1 species
UACGAAGGGGGCUAGCGUUGCUCGGAAUCACUGGGCGUAAAGCGCACGUAGGCGGACUCUUAAGUCAGGGGUGAAAUCCUGGAGCUCAACUCCAGAACUGCCUUUGAUACUGGCGAGCUUGAGUUCGGGAGAGGUGAGUGGAACUGCGAGUGUAGAGGUGAAAUUCGUAGAUAUUCGCAAGAACACCAGUGGCGAAGGCGGCUCACUGGCCCGAUACUGACGCUGAGGUGCGAAAGCGUGGGGAGCAAACAGG